UUAUGGGCAAGAUGGAAAAACAACCUUGAUAGAUUGUUUACAUUCCUGAGCGAAACUCGGGGCGGCAGACUUGAGCGUUGAAGGCAUAUCGGGGUUAAUUUACGGUAUCCAGUCAUGAGGUUCAAAACCUCCUUGCUGAAUAAGCCAAAACACACAGAUCUUGUGUCUUGUGUUGGGUGGAUGUCACCUGAUGAAGUUUAUUCUUGUGGAGAUGAUCAACAGUUACUUCAAUGGAAUUUGUUGUCAGGUGAGACAACAAAGGUUAGUGAUUUGCCAAAAGAUGUGUAUCCAUUGGACCUCCACUGGCUACCCAAGACAGCCAUGCAGAAAUCAAAAGUUGGAUCAGAAGUUUUUCUUCUUACAGCUGCUGAUGGCAAGUUUUACAUAGUUGGUCGCAGUGGUCGGACAGAUAAAGUUGUAGAAGCUCAUCGUGGAGCUGUAUUAGCAGGCCGUUGGAGCCACGAUGGAGCUGGUCUUGUUACAGCUGGAGAAGAUGGCCUAGUGAAGAUAUGGUCUCGCAGUGGAAUGCUGCGAUCAACUUUGGCGCAAGUACCAGUUCCUGUGUAUGGUGCAGCUUGGGCCCCAGACUCUGAUGCUGUCAUCUACACUAGUGGUUAUAAUCUCAUCAUAAAACCUCUUGCACCAAAUUCAAAACCUAUUCAGUGGAAGGCCCAUGAUGGAGUAAUUCUGAAGGUUGCAUGGAACCCCAAUACUGGAUUGAUUUUGUCAGGUGGUGAAGACACAAGGUAUCGUGUUUGGGACAACUUUGGCCGCCAGUUAUAUUCAUCAUCUCAGCAUCAUCAUCCAAUUACAUCUUUAUCCUGGUCCCCUGAUGGACAACUUUUUGCUGCUGGAUCAUUCAAUACUCUCCGACUUUGUGAUAAAGCUGGAUGGUGCCACUCUCUUGAAAAACCAAAUACAGGGAGUAUUUUUAACUUGGCAUGGUCAAGUGAUGGCACACAGGUUGCUGGAGCCUGUGGAAAUGGCCAUGUGAUCUUUGCACAUGUUAUUGAAAAUCACUUGGAAUGGAAGAAUUAUGAGGCAACAGUGACAAGCCGUAAGACAAUAGCAUUACGAAAUGUCACAAAUGAAGCUUGGGAGAAGCUAGAACUUCGCGAUCGAAUAAUCAAAGUAUCGCUAUCUCAUGGCCACCUUGUAGUGGUAACCUCAACACAAGCAUAUGUAUAUUCAACACGUAAUUGGAACACUCCCAUUAUACUGGAGCUCAAAGAAUCUAAUGCCAGUUUGAUUGUUCAGUCAGAGAGACAUUUCUUGGUUGUUGAUGGAGCUAGUGUUUAUAUAUACUCCUAUGAUGGACGUUUGCUGUGCUCACCUCGUUGGCCUGGAAUGAGAACUGAUGUUUUAAACAACCGCACUGUCUCAUUAUCAGAUGAUACACUUGCAAUCAGAGAUAAGACUGAUGAAAAACUUGUCCAUCUAUUUGAUUCAACAACAGGCAAAGCACUGAAUGAUGGAAAGCCAUGGACACAUAAAACUGAAAUAAUUGAGGUAGCAUUAGAUAAAGUUGGGACAGCUCAUGAGAGACGUAUGGCAGUUGUUGACCGGAACCGAGAUCUGUUUCUUGUAAACAUACAGCGUGUAGGAGGAAUGGGUAGGGCAGUUAAACUUGGUGGAAUGGUACAGUCUCUCUGCUGGAAUGAUGGAGCAAACAUGCUUGCAGCUCUCCAAGAUGCAAAGUUCACUGUCUGGUUUUAUCCAGCUGUAGUCUUUUUUGAUCGUGACUUACAGUCUUCAACCAUUUCUGAAAAAGAUGCAACUGAAUAUGGAAAAAAUGCAGUAGUAGACAGCUUCUUAGACACUGUAGUGACAGUGAGGCGGGCAGAUGGAAGCUUGGUUACUGCAAAUGUUUCACCAUACCCAGCCCUGCUCCACAACUAUGUAACAGCUAAACAUUGGGAUGAUGCUGUCAGACUGGCUCGGUUUGUGAAAGAUGACACUGUAUGGGCUUGCUUGGCUGCAAUGGCUACAGCAUAUAAAGAACUGAAUACAGCAGAAGUAGCAUAUGCAGCUAUAAAUGAAGUUGACAAGGUGCAGUACAUACAUUAUAUAAAAGAGAUUCCUAUAAAGGAAGCCCGAAUGGCAGAAAUGGCAUUAAUGGGUGGCCAUAUAAGUGAUGCAGAAUCUAUCUUACUGCAGUCAGGACUACAUUUCAGAGCCAUAAUGCUGAACUUGACUACAUAUAACUUUGAGCGUGCUUUACAGCUUGCCAUAAAACAUCGUACUCAUGUGGAUACUGUAAUUGCAUUCCGACAGCGCUAUCUUGCACGUUUUAAUAAGAAUGAAACAAGUAAAAUAUUUCAGCAAUAUGAAAAACAGGUUGAAGUUGACUGGAAAAAGAUACAAGAAAAGAUUGAGCUGGAGUUCCAGACUGAAAGAGAAAAACCAACAUCAUCGAAAUAAGUCACUGAGCGACCUUUUACCUGUUGGAAACAGAUUAUUCUGAUAGUAUCUGUACUUUCUAUUGAAAGCAGCAAGGGACAUUUUUAUUUUUCAUGAAAUUUUAAAAGAACUAAAAUAUAUUAAUUGAUAUGCAAUGUACAGUUAAAAGCAUAUUCUUAGAGAUGUAAUCAGUAAUGACACUGAAUACUAAAGUAAUCAGUUUGAUGUGCUCCUGAUAGUUAAACAAUGCAAAUUUUAAUAUAGAUAGACACAUAUGUGUGUGUAUGUAUGUUUGUAUGUAUUUAUUUAUAAGUAUGUAUGAGUAAUGACACAUAUAUUUGAACAGACAAACAUUUGUGUCUGUAAUUGUUGGUUCUAGUCACCACUAUUUGUACGGGCUUUGAUGAUGUUUUCUUUUGAAGGGUUUUUAUUGGGCAGAUAAGAUCUUUUAUUCCAAAAGGAUGUCUUUCCUAAUCCUGACCCAAUGUCUACAGCCAUUUGUUUUUUCUACUAUAGUACAGCAACCCCACAUAUAUUUCAGUGUAUUUCAAUAUAUUUAUACUACUUAUAUUUAGUGUAUGUAUAUUCAUACCCAUGACAUGACACAGACACAUGCAGAUGGAUAUUGAUUCCUAUAUACACAUGUGCUUAGCCAACAAGGAGUCAAUCAGUAUGCCCUAGUGUCCGAUCCUGAUUUCCCCAUUCCUUGAAUUGGUGGGAAAAUGUGUGUUUCUUUUUAAUACAGUUGAUAUUGAUACAGUUAUUAUUGUUAUUGAC
rnacentral:misc_RNA from 1 species